CCCGAAAUUUACUUGAUCUAAGAGUUUCACACUUUUAGCAGCUAAACUUAAGUGUAGCAUAACUUAGGGUCAAGAUUCUCUUAGGGGUGAUAUGCCAAUCAAGUUAAAAGAUAUCUGGGUGUAGGGGAAAUAUAUUUAGUAUAUAUAGUACAUAGCAUAAACUAUAAGGUUUAUGCCACACAAUAUUAUCAAUUAAUUAUAUUAGAAUUAUUUAAUAAUUAAUAAUUAAUCAGUCCACUCUUAUAGAACUUAGUUUUAUGCGUAUUUGAAUUAAUACCCUAAGCUUUAGUGAAAUUUUUCACUUAAUCUAUAAUGUAAAUAUUAGUAAGUAUUUUAAAUCUUUAUGAAGGAACUCGGCAAACCUAUUUCUCUUGUCUGUUUACCAAAAACAUAGCUUAAAGAGUGCGUAACACAGAUUUUAAGUAACCCCUGCCCGGUGAGUUAUAGAAACUUUAACGGCCGCAGUACCUUGACUGUGCAAAGGUAGCAUAAUAAUUUGUCCUCUAAUUAAGGUCUGGAAUGAAGGGGGACACAGGGGAGAGCUGUCUCCAAUAAGGUUAAUUUAACUUUCUUAUCAGGUGAAAAUUCCUGAGCCUCCGAUGAAAGACGAGAAGACCCUUAGAGUUUUUAUUAUAACUUGAUAUAUUAAGAUUCUUGUUCUGUUUUUGUUGGGGCGACAGGGUUACAAUAGAUAACUUACCCUACCAUAUUUUUAUAUGGCGAUCAUUAUACUUUUAAUUAAGCUACCUAAGGGAUAACAGCGUAAUCUUUUUUUUUUGGUUUGCGACCUCGAUGUUGGACUAGGGGCCUACUGGUUAGUUACCAUUAUGGGGCGGUUCUGUUCGAACUUUUCCUACCCUACAUGAUCUGAGUUCAGACCGGCGCAAGCCAGGUCAGUUUCUAUCUUCCAUUUUGAUUUUAAUUAGUACGAAAGGAUCAUUAAA
rnacentral:rRNA from 1 species